rnacentral:rRNA from 1 species
UACGUAGGGUGCAAGCGUUGUCCGGAAUUAUUGGGCGUAAAGAGCUCGUAGGCGGUCUGUCGCGUCGGCUGUGAAAUCCCGAGGCUCAACCUCGGGUCUGCAGUCGAUACGGGCAAACUAGAGUAUUGCAGGGGAGACUGGAAUUCCUGGUGUAGCGGUGAAAUGCGCAGAUAUCAGGAAGAACACCCGUGGCGAAAGCGGCUCUCUGGAACGGUACUGACGCUGAGACGCGAAAGCGUGGGGAGCGAACAGG